rnacentral:rRNA from 1 species
CCUACGGGAGGCACCAGUGGGGAAUAUUGGACAAUGGGCGAAAGCCUGAUCCAGCAAUGCCGCGUGUGUGAAGAAGGUCUUCGGAUUGUAAAGCACUUUCGACGGGGACGAUGAUGACGGUACCCGUAGAAGAAGCCCCGGCUAACUUCGUGCCAGCAGCCGCGGUAAUACGAAGGGGGCUAGCGUUGCUCGGAAUGACUGGGCGUAAAGGGCGCGUAGGCGGUUUAUGCAGUCAGAUGUGAAAUCCCCGGGCCUAACCUGGGAACUGCAUUUGAGACGCAUAGAGUAGAGGUAGAGAGAGGGUUGUGGAAUUCCCAGUGUAGAGGUGCAAUUCGUAGAUAUUGGGAAGAACACCGGUGGCGAAGGCGGCAACCUGGCUCGAUACUGACCCUGAGGCGCGAAAGCGUGGGGAGCAAACAGGAUUAGAUACCCGUGUAGUC